ACAAGUACCGUGAGGGAAAGGUGAAAAGAACCCCAAAUAGGGGAGUGCAAUAGUACCUGAAACCAUACGCCUACAAGCGGUCGGAGCCUGAAAGGGUGACGGCGUGCCUUUUGCAUAAUGAGCCUACGAGUUACUGCUCACUGGCAAGGUUAAGAACUUAGAGGUUCGGAGCCGUAGCGAAAGCGAGUUCGAAUAGAGCGUAUAGUCGGUGGGCGUAGACGCGAAACCUGCGUGAUCUAUCCAUGGUCAGGGUGAAGUUGCUGUAACAGGCAAUGGAGGUCCGAACCAGUUUACGUUGAAAAGUAUUUGGAUGAACUGUGGAUAGGGGUGAAAGGCCAAUCAAACUGGGAGAUAGCUCGUACUCCCCGAAAUGCCUUUAGGGGCAGCCUUGUGGUUGAGUGUUGUAGAGGUAGAGCUACCGAUUGGACUAGGGGGUUUCAUCGCCUACCAAAUCCUGACGAACUCCGAAUGCUAUUACACAUACACAGGAGUGAGGCUGCGGGUGCUAAGGCCCGUGGUCGAGAGGGGAACAACCCAGACCAUCAGCUAAGGUCCCCAAAUGUAUGCUAAGUUGAAUAAACGUGGUGCGGCUGCUAAGACAGCUAGGAUGUUUGCUUGGAAGCAGCAAUUCAUUUAAAGAGUGCGUAACAGCUCACUAGUCGAGUGGUCGUGCGCGGAAAAUAAUCGGGCAUCAAGCAUACUACCGAAGCUAUGGAUUUACGAAAGUAAGUGGUAGGGGAGCAUUCUGGUCAGCGUAGAAGGUGAGCUGUGAGGCUUGCUGGAGCGGUCAGAAAAGCAAAUGUAGGCAUAAGUAACGAUAAAGCGGGUGAAAAACCCGCUCACCGUAAGAACAAGGUUUCCUGAUCAACGUUAAUCGGAUCAGGGUUAGUCGGGGACUAAGGAUAACCCGCGAGGGGAAGCCGAUGUAAAACGGGUUAAUAUUCCCGUACCUGCGUAUAAUGUGACGUAGUGACGAAGGAGCGAAACUGCUGCGUACUGACGGAAUAGUACGUUAAAGAGAGGUAGGCUAUGAGGGUAUAGGCAAAUCCGUACUUGAGCUGAGACUUGAUAGUACCGCGACGCAUUAGCGAAGUGGAUAAUGCAGGGUAGCCGACUUCCGAGAAAAGCUGCUAAACUUAGUUAUACGGAGCCCGUACCGGAAACCGACACAGGUGUUCGAGGAGAAUAUCCUCAGGUGCUCGAGUGAUUCACGGCUAAGGAACUCGGCAAAUUGGUCUCGUAACUUCGGGAGAAGAGACGCCUACCCCUGCGAAGGGGAGGCCGCAGAGCAUAGGCCCAGGCGACUGUUUAACAAAAACACAGGACACUGCGAAAUCGGAAGAAGAAGUAUAGUGUCUGACACCUGCCCGGUGCUGGAAGGUUAAGGGAGGGGGUUAGCGCAAGCGAAGCUCUUGACUGAAGCCCCAGUAAACGGCGGCCGUAACUAUAACGGUCCUAAGGUAGCGAAAUUCCUUGUCGGGUAAGUUCCGACCUGCACGAAUGGUGUAACGAUCUGGGCACUGUCUCAGCCAUGAGCUCGGUGAAAUUGUAGUAUCGGUGAAGAUGCCGAUUACCCGCAACGGGACGGAAAGACCCCGUGAACCUUCACUAUAGCUUAGUAUUGUAUUUGGUUAAAUGAUGUGUAGGAUAGGUGGGAGACUAAGAAGCUGGUACGCUAGUAUUGGUGGAGUCGUCGUUGAAAUACCACCCUUUGUUUAAUUAGAUACUAACUUGUCAUUAGACGAGGACAGUGCUUGGUGGGUAGUUUGACUGGGGUGGUCGCCUCCAAAAGUGUAACGGAGGCUUCCAAAGGUUUCCUCAGCAUGGACGGUAAUCAUGCGUAGAGCGUAUUAGUAUAAGGAAGCUUGACUGCGAGACCGACAAGUCGAGCAGGGACGAAAGUCGGGUAAAGUGAUCCGGUGGUUCUGCAUGGAAGGGCCAUCGCUCAAAGGAUAAAAG
rnacentral:rRNA from 1 species